AGCCCGGCACAGCCCGGCACAGCCCGGCACAGCCCGGCGUUCCCGCGGGAAAGCCGCGGAUCCCCGGGGAUGCCGGGAGCUCCCCGUGCUGCUGCUGGCAAAUCCUUCACCCCUUGGCCUGCUUGCCUUGCACAGCUCCACGCUGCUUUCCUUCCUCUUGGUGCUUCGAGCUGGGGUUUCUCCCGGGAAGGGUGAAAUGAUCCAGGUUUUGGGGCGGUUCUGGGGUCUCCAGGUGUUCUGGGGUCCCCGGGUGCUCUGGGGUCUCCAGGUGUUCUGGGGUCUCCAGGUGUUCUGGGGUCUCCAGGUGCUCUGGGGUCUCCGGGUGCUCUGGGGUCUCCGGGUGCUCUGGGGUCUCCAGGUGCUCUGGGGUCUCCGGGUGUUCUGGGGUCUCCGGGUGCUCUGGGGUCUCCAGGUGCUCUGGGGUCUCCAGGUGUUCUGGGGUCCCCGGGUGUUCUGGGGUCCCCAGGUGUUCUGGGGUCUCCAGGUGUUCUGGGGUCUCCAGCAGAGCGAAGCACCGAGGGGAGAGCCCAAACCAGAGCUUGGAGCAGGGCAGGAGAAGCAGAGUGUGCUGGAGCACGGAGCCUCAGGGCUGGCAGCCUCUAACUUAUUACAGGAAAUAAUUGAUCCGUGGCAAUGAAUCCGGGAGUGAAUCAAUCAGAAUAAAACCACUCAAUGGGAGGAGUUUUCUCGCUCCAGUUUUCACCUUCCCUUUGCCUUUGGAGGUGGUAGUUGGACCUUCCCUGAGUAGUUUGGUGCAGUAGCCAACUGAGGAAUAACCCCUUGUUUUUAGUCCCUCUUUUUGGAGCAUAUACUUUGUACUUUUUAAAAUGAAGAAAACAAACAAAAAAAAAAUUUAAAAAAAAAAAAUAAAGUAGGUAGCGAAGAAGUGCUAGAAUUUGGGAUUGGGUUGGGAUGGCUGGGAUGGGAAUGGCAGAACUACCUCUGGACAGCCGGGGCCAGCUCCUGUCACCCCCCUGCGGCUGGAGGGGCGGGGAAGGGAGCAGCUGCAGCAGGCAGAGCUGGGAGCACUCCAGAGCUGCUGCUGGGGAACCUCCAGCUGCCAAAACUGGGGGAAAAAUCCUGCAAAAAAUCCUUUUCUGCCCGUGGUCGGGGUUCUCUGCCCUCGCCCUGGCCCAGGAGCAUUUGGGAUUUCCCUGCCCGGGGUCUGGAUGCUGCUCCUUGAUUUCAGGGGUGCCUUUUGUCCGGGUGGGGGUUGAGCUUGGGCUGGAGAGAGGCUCCCAAGAACUCUGGAACCUCCAGAACCACUUCCACUGUUUCAAAAUCAAGGAUUUGCCAGGUCUUCCAGCAUGACCCCACGCUCCACAGAGAGCGGCCGGGGCCUUCCCAUUCCCCUUCCCAAGGCUUCCUUCCCCUCCGGGGUCUUUGGGGUGAGCGUGGGGUUUCUGGUGCAGCCCUUAGUCCAGUUUAGAGUAACCUCAGGUUGUUUUUAGCGUGAGCUAUUCCCAGGAUCCAGGUGGAGACUAUUUUUUACUGUCCUAGUGCUGAUCCUGCCGAGGACCUGGAUCCUGGACUUGUUUUGUUUCUGUAUAAAUAAUCCCUGUGCCCACUUUUUCACCUGAUCUCUGUAUAGGGCCGGUUUGAUUCCUGCAGCAGCCACCCAAUUUUGUGAAAUAAAAGCAAAAAACAGCGGUUUUUGUACAAAGCCUG